rnacentral:rRNA from 1 species
GACGAACGCUGGCGGCGUGCUUAACACAUGCAAGUCGAACGGGGAUUAAGCUGGAAAGGUUUCGGCCCGGAAGGAUUAAUUCGAGUGGCGGACGGGUGAGUAACGCGUGAGCAACCUGUCCCAGACAGGGGGAUAACACUUGGAAACAGGUGCUAAUACCGCAUAAGACCACGGGGUCACAUGGCUCUGGGGUAAAAGGAGCAAUCCGGUUUGGGGUGGGCUCGCGUCCGAUUAGAUAGUUGGUGGGGUAACGGCCUACCAAGUCGACGAUCAGUAGCCGGACUGAGAGGUUGAACGGCCACAUUGGGACUGAGAUACGGCCCAG